UACGAGGGGGUGCAAGCGUUGCUCGGAAUUAUUGGGCGUAAAGGGUAGGUAGGUGGUCUCAUUUGUCUGGGGUGAAAGCCUUGAGCUUAACUCAAGAAGUGCCCCAGAAACGGUGAGACUGAGAGUCGUGGAGGAGGGUCGUUGGAACUUCCCGGUGUGAGCGGAUGAAAUGCGUAGAGAUCGGGAGGAACACCAGCGGCGAAGGCGGCGACCUGGACAGGUACUGACACUCAACUACGAAAGCGUGGGGAGCAAACAGG
rnacentral:rRNA from 1 species